rnacentral:lncRNA from 1 species
UGUCAGAGGAAGGGGAUUGUGAUGAGAGGAAAGGCCAGGGGACUGGGACACUUUUUCCUUUGUGAUUAUAAAAUUGAACAGACAAGGUUGCUUCAAGCUAGGAAGUUGCUGCUGGAAGUAUUUAGCUUUGCUGGGGCUGGGGGGCUUGACACCCACAGCCUUAUACUCCUUCCUGAGUUUCAUCCCAUCUCACAGGUUCUCCCCAACUUCAUGGCCUUUGCCUAUCUAGGAGCCUCAGACACAUAGGCUAGACAAAGGCCUCAUCCACAUGAUGCGCAGGUAUGGGUCUAGCUCCUGCAUGAGCUCAACAUCUGGGCCUGUCUGAGCUGCACAGCUGAAGAAAGAGACAAGAUGUCUAUAGCCUCACCCACUUGGUAAGAGUUGGACUUUACAAUGGAUGCCCUUUCUUGCACUCCAGAGUAGUUAGAGGUAAAAAACAAGCAAUAUCUGCUGUGGGCUCUUGGCUUUUCUGUGGGUCCCUCCAUACACUACCAGGAACUGCUUCCUUUUUCCUUCCUGCAGAGGAAUCAGGCAUGGCUGAGAAAGACAUUCGAGUUGUGCAGGUGGUGAUGAUUUGUGCUUUAGAGGAUGGAGGAGGCCUGCAGGGAAGGCGGAGCUGCGGGGAACACUCUCUAGGAGGGAGAGUAACAUGCCUACAAACACCUGGGAAGGGAGUACUUUUAGGAUCAACACUUGUGGACGGGAGAAGAUGGAAGCAGGACUGGGUAGAAGAAGAAGCUGGGCUGCAAUGAAGUCCCAUUGAAGACCUCAGCUGACCUUGCAUGGAGCCUGGUACUAGGAUAUUCCUCCAGAGUUGCUCUGAGUUAGGAUAAGAGAGCUGGGCCUUUAUACGACUAGGUUGAUGAGUCCAAUGAGAUGUGGUUUGUUACCAGAUACGACCUAAGCAAGGGCACUCCCUUCAGCUGAGACAAUCGCAAAUAGAGCUGAUGCUGAGGACCAUCUCCACAGCCAGGUGCCUCUCAGCAUCCAUUACACAAUUCAUGGGAACAACUUGUUCCUGUGAAGACUUGGGCUCAGGACAUUAUUCACUCACUCAUAGUCAGGUCCUCAAAGCUAUCCCAGCUCACCCACAUAACCCAAAGUUUUCUGAUCCCACUUGGUCUGACCUGGAUUUUACUAAUGGGAAAAGUUUAGGGUGAGCAUCACGGGGGAUUGAGAAGCCACUUCCUCUGGGAUCUGAGUGCCUAGAUCUGGGGUGAGCUCUGGUAGUGGACAGAGGAAGGACGAGAGGAAAGGAAACCUCAGGCUUUUGAAGUGAGAUAAAACUUUGGAAUAUCAACAAAGUCUCCCUACCGCACAUUUCCUUGCAUUGUUCCCCACGGGGUACAAGAGGCAAAUAAAACCUAGCUGAGGACAAGACGUUAAUUUUUUCUAAUAGACUUAAUUUUUUAAGGACAGCUUUAGAUUUACAGAAAAAUUGAGCCCUAUCAUUAGCAUCUUACAUUGAUAUGAUACAUUAUUAUAAUCAAUGAACCAAUAUUGAUACAUUAUGAUUAAUCAAAGUUCAUAGUUUAUUUAGAUCUUUUCUUUUUACCUAAUGUCGUUUUUCUCUUCCAGCAUCCCAUCCAGGAUACCUGUUACAUUUACUUGUCAUAUCUCCUCAAGCUUCUCUUGGCUAUGACAGUUUUUUAGACUUUCCUUGAUUUUGAUGACCUUGACAGUUUUGAGGAGUUCUGGGCCCGAUGUUGCAGAAUGCCUCCUUAUUGAAAUUUGUCUGAUGUUUUCCUCAUGAUUAGAUUGGGGUUGUGAGUUUUGGGGGGAAGGUAAUAGAGGAAAAGUGUCAUCUUCAUCACAUCAUAUUAAAGGUACAUAUUAGUGACAUGA